rnacentral:lncRNA from 1 species
AGAGAGUGCCUUGCUUCUCCUUCACCUUCCACCAUGAUUACCCAGGCGUACAGAUGGGCCAGGCUGGGGGCCCCCAAGCACCUGUUUAGCACAAGGUGAAGUUGCAAAUGGUUACCUGGGAUGGCGACCAAGUUCUGCAGCUCCUGCUUCAAGUCCAUGAUGUCCUUGCAGAGCUGGAUGUCAUCCAUCCUGGGGAAACAGGACACCAUCAACAGCAGGUUACAUCAGCAGAGCAUUACGCCCUGAGCAUCACCCGGUUAACACAAAGAAGCUAUUAAAGAAUGGAUCCCUAAUCAUUGUAGAAAUUUUGGAAAAUACAAACAAGUACAAAGAAGGAAGAUGAAAGUAUGCAGAACCUUGACCUACGUGUAGCAGAGGCCACUUCUACUCCGAGGGUUCUGGUGUAUUUCACAGCAAUCUUUUUCCUCCAUGUAACCUAAGGGUGGCGGGCAUGCCCUGGGGGCCUUUGCCCUGGCCCUUUGUCCACCUCCAAGGCUGCCCUUAGCAUGUCAUUGAAUCCUCCCAAAAGAUCCAAGCCCACAACCCAUUGACAAGCGAGGUGGAGCUCUACAGAACUGCUGACGGGAUUCACGCUGCAGGACUCCAUCAACGUCCCUAUGAGAUGGCUCUGUUUUCCUCAUGUCUCAUCUCUUCUCUCUCUCUCUCUACCUCCUCCACACACCUUCCGCUAAAGGAGGACCAUCAGGUCCUAAAUCAAGCUUGUCCAAAUUAGGCCCAGGAUGGCUUUUGAAGGCAGCCCAACACAAAUUUGUAAACCUUUUUAAAACAUGAGAUUUUUUUUGUGUGUGAUUUUUUUUUUAAGCUCAUCAGCUAUUGUUACUAUAAGUGUAUUUUAUGUGUGGUCCAAGACAAUUCUUCCAAUGUGGCCCAGGGAAGACAAAAGAUUGGACACCCCUGUCCUGAAUUACUCAGCUCUGUUCUUCAACUUACAAACCCCAGUUGGCAAAACCAAAAGCUUCAUGGUCCUUUGAACAUCCUUCCAAGAAAGAAGCUUGUCCCCCGACCCCAAGCUGUCCAUCAGGGUUAGGUGUCCAUUCACGUAACUAAAAAUCAAGUCUUUUUCUGGAAUAUGGAAGGAUGGGUUCUGCCAUUAAGGCAAACAAGAAGUCAGCAUUUACGGAGCAUUUACAUGUAAAUGCACUUUCUGUGCAUAAACUCUUCUAGACCGUCACAGCAGUCCAGGAAGAGAAACAUUGUUUUUAGCUCUAUUUUACAGAUGAGUACAUGGAGGUUAAGCAACACACCCAAAGCUCUGCACUGGUAAGUGGCCUUCCAGAUUCAGCCCUAGCUCCUGCUCUUGACAAUUUCACCGUGUUGUCUCCUCUCCAUGUGGCUCCAUGAGUUGCAGCGGGCAUGACUGGUUGUAGACCUUCCCCUCCCGCUUUCUCCCAGAGCUCUGAUUUGUCCAGGAGGCAACCUGCCCUGCCUUGAUGGAAGCCAGUCACAGAAUCCCAUUUGCUUUGGCUAGACACAUACUUUUCCAGGCUCUCUUGCAAGUGGAGGUAGCUAUGACAUCUACUCUGGGCCAAUGAAAUGUAAGAGAACAACUUUAAGCAACCAUUACCAUAGUCACGUAUGUGUCAU